rnacentral:lncRNA from 1 species
GGCCAACCUAGGUUAGUUUCGAAACUUCUUGCCAUUUUUCUGUUCUUUCUUUUUUGUAUUCCGUUCGUUUAGCUCCCUCGAGAGCUUGUUCGCUAUUUUUUCUGAUUUUAUUUUUGAGAUUUUUGCAGCUUCUAUUUGAUCCAAAAUGUCUUCCGAUAUCUCCUCUUCUAGCGAUUCUAGGAGUUCGUCAGCUCCAGUUUCCCAGAGUCCUUGUACCGUAGACGGACCUGUAGUCG